AUACGGAGGGUCCAAGCGUUAUGCGGAAUCAUUGGGUUUAAAGGGUCCGUAGGCGGACAAUUAAGUCAGAGGUGAAAGCCCACAGCUCAACUGUGGAACUGCCUUUGAUACUGGUUGUCUUGAAUUAUAGUGAAGUAGAUAGAAUAUGUAGUGUAGCGGUGAAAUGCAUAGAUAUUACAUAGAAUACCGAUUGCGAAGGCAGUCUACUAACUAUAUAUUGACGCUGAUGGACGAAAGCGUGGGGAGCGAACAGGAUUAGAAACCCUAGUAGUCC
rnacentral:rRNA from 1 species